CUCUCUCUCCUCUCUCUCUCUCUACUUUCUCUCUCUAAGUUCUUCUUCUUCUUCGGCGAAGACAAUCACUUGUUGACAAACAGAAGCUCUGCUUUCACACUUCAGGGAAUGCAGGUUUGCUCAUCGUCAUUGUAGAAGAUCAAUAAUUUUGGAAUUUUCUUUCUCGGAGCAAAACCUAAUUGAAAAAUCCAAAAUCAUUGAUUUCUGCUACUUAAUUCCCAGCAAAAUCAAAACCCCUGCCUUAGUUCUUAUUUUUUGUCGCCACCUGUUUGUUUAUUUUCCCCACUGAAAAAUAUUUUUCUCAUACAUACAAAGCUGAAAAAAAAUGCACUUCACUGAUUAUUCACAUUUGCUCUUGAUUGGGGUUACAUUGCUACUGUCAAUAAAUUUUACCAAUGCUGAUUUGGUAACUUGCUCGGGGAUUGUUCCGAUGAAUUACCGGAACGAUAAAAUAUCGAUAACGGAUUUCGGAGGUGUGGGUGAUGGUGUGACUUUGAACACAAAAGCAUUUAGAGAAGCGAUUUACAGAAUCGAGCAUUUGAGAAGGCGAGGUGGGACCCUCCUCUACAUUCCUCCCGGAGAAUAUUUAACCGGACCCUUUAAUCUAACCAGCCGAAUGACUCUUUACUUGGCCAAAGGAGCUGUUAUCAAAGCCACAACGGAUAUUGCGCAAUGGCCCUUAAUAGCGCCACUGCCCUCGUAUGGGAGAGGAAGAGAACUACCUGGAGGAAGGUAUAUGAGUUUUCCUCCAUGGCGACGGCCUACACGAUGUCAUAAUUACAGGUGAAAAUGGCACGAUUGAUGGUCAAGGUGGCGUGUGGUGGAACAUGUGGAGGCAAAGAACUCUUCAGUUUACGAGACCAAACCUUAUCGAACUAAUGAAUUCUAGAGGCAUAAUCAUCUCCAAUGUAAUUUUCAAGAACUCGCCCUUUUGGAACAUACACCCUGUCUAUUGCAGCAACGUUGUGAUUCACUAUGUCACCAUACUCGCCCCUGCUGACUCUCCCAACACCGACGGGAUUGAUCCAGACUCGAGCUCCCACGUAUGCAUCGAGGACUCCUACAUAUCAACAGGAGACGACCUAGUAGCCAUAAAAAGCGGCUGGGACGAAUACGGAAUUUCAUACGGCCGCCCAAGCCACGGCAUCACCGUCCGACGAGUCACCGGAUCUUCUCCGUUUGCCGGAAUCGCCAUCGGAAGCGAAACCUCCGGUGGGGUGGAGGAUGUCUUGGUGGAGCACAUAAGUCUAUACAACAUGGGAGUGGGUAUCCAUUUGAAGACCAAUAUAGGGAGAGGCGGCAUUAUAAGAAACAUUACGAUGUCAAAUAUUUAUAUUGAAAAUGCGAGAAAAGGGAUCAAGAUUUCGGGUGACGUUGGAGAUCACCCGGACGAGUAUUACAACCCGAAUGCUUUACCCGUUGUUAAGGAUGUUGUGAUCAAGAAUGUUUGGGGCCAACGGGUGGAGCAACCCGGUUUGAUCCGCGGGUUGAAGAAUGCGCCGUUUAGAGGGAUUUGUUUGUCGAAUAUCCAUCUCGGCGGUGCGGGUGGGCCUCGCGAUUUGCCGUGGCAGUGCUCGCAUGUUAGUGGUGGUGCGGUGCAGGUUAGCCCGUGGCCUUGUUCAGAACUCACUAGUGGCCAGAAAAUCGGUUCUUGCUCAUCUUCCUUUUAAAUAAUUUGUGAAUGUUUUUCCUUUUUUUUUUUAUAAAUGUUUAUGACAGUAAUUUAUAUGUAAUAAGACAUUAAGUGUGCUAUUAGAAAAUAUAAUUAUUCAUCA